CAAGUUAUUUCGUAGGGAAUUUUUCUUUUACAUUGAAAAGUAUUAUCGUGCAAUUCGAUUAAGCUUGA
rnacentral:tRNA from 1 species